UACGUGAGGGGCGAACGUUGUUCGGUGUCACUGGGCUUAAAGGGUGCGUAGGUGGUUGCGUAAGUAACGUGUGAAAUCCCUCGGCUUACCCGGGGAAUUGCACGUUAUACUGCGUGACUUGAGGACUAAAGGGGAAAAGGGAACUCCAGGUGUAGCGGUGAAAUGCGCAGAUAUCUGGGGGAAGGCCGGCGGCGAAGGCGCUUUUCUGGUUAGAUCCUGACACUGAGGCACGAAAGCGUGGGGAGCAAACAGG
rnacentral:rRNA from 1 species